AUUGAACGCUGGCGGCAUGCUUUACACAUGCAAGUCGAACGGCAGCGCGGGCUUCGGCCUGGCGGCGAGAGGCGAACGGGUGAGUAAUGCAUCGGAACGUGCCCAGUAGUGGGGGAUAGCCCGGCGAAAGCCGGAUUAAUACCGCAUACGACCUGAGGGUGAAAGCGGGGGACCGAAAGGCCUCGCGCUAUUGAAGCGGCCGAUGUCGGAUUAGCUAGUUGGUGGGGUAAAGGCUUACCAAGGCGACGAUCCGUAGCUGGUCUGAGAGGACGACCAGCCACGCUGGGACUGAGACACGGCCCAGACUCCUACGGGAGGCAGCAGUGGGGAAUUUUGGACAAUGGGGGCAACCCUGAUCCAGCCAUGCCGCGUGCGGGAAGAAGGCCUUCGGGUUGUAAACCGCUUUUGUUCGGGAAGAAAUCCUCUGGGCUAAUACCCCGGGGGGAUGACGGUACCGGAAGAAUAAGCACCGGCUAACUACGUG
rnacentral:rRNA from 1 species